rnacentral:rRNA from 1 species
AAUAGAUACCCGGGUAGUCCACGCCGUAAACGAUGAGUGCUAGGUGUUAGGGGGGUCCAACCCCUUAGUGCUGAAGUUAACACAUUAAGCACUCCGCCUGGGGAGUACGACCGCAAGGUUGAAACUCAAAGGAAUUGACGGGGGCCCGCACAAGCAGUGGAGCAUGUGGUUUAAUUCGAAGCAACGCGAAGAACCUUACCAGGUCUUGACAUCCUCUGACAACCCUAGAGAUAGGGCGUUCCCCUUCGGGGGACAGAGUGACAGGUGGUGCAUGGUUGUCGUCAGCUCGUGUCGUGAGAUGUUGGGUUAAGUCCCGCAACGAGCGCAACCCUUGAUGUUAGUUGCCAGCAUUCAGUUGGGCACUCUAACGUGACUGCCGGUGACAAACCGGAGGAAGGUGGGGAUGACGUCAAAUCAUCAUGCCCCUUAUGACCUGGGCUACACACGUGCUACAAUGGGCGGUACAAAGGGCAGCGAAACCGCGAGGUGGAGCCAAAUCCCAUAAAGCCGCUCUCAGUUCGGAUUGCAGG